rnacentral:rRNA from 1 species
UACGGGGGGAGCAAGCGUUGUUCGGAUUUACUGGGCGUAAAGGGCGCGUAGGCGGCCACCGCAAGUCGACUGUGAAAUCUCCGGGCUUAACCCGGAAAGGUCAGCCGAUACUGCGGGGCUAGAGUGCAGAAGGGGCAACUGGAAUUCUCGGUGUAGCGGUGAAAUGCGUAGAUAUCGGAAGGAACACCAGUGGCGAAAGCGGCUUCCUGGUCCAGCACCGACGUUCAGGCACGAAAGCGUGGGGAGCAAACGGG